UACGUAGGGUCCGAGCGUUGUCCGGAAUUAUUGGGCGUAAAGGGCUCGUAGGCGGUUGGUCACGUCGGGAGUGAAAACUCAGGGCUCAACCCUGAGCGUGCUUCCGAUACGGGCCGACUAGAGGUAUGCAGGGGAGAACGGAAUUCCUGGUGUAGCGGUGGAAUGCGCAGAUAUCAGGAGGAACACCAAUGGCGAAGGCAGAUCUCUGGGCCGUAACUGACGCUGAGGAGCGAAAGCAUGGGGAGCGAACAGG
rnacentral:rRNA from 1 species